rnacentral:rRNA from 1 species
CCUACGGGUGGCAGCAGUGAGGAAUAUUGGUCAAUGGACGAGAGUCUGAACCAGCCAAGUAGCGUGAAGGAUGACUGCCCUAUGGGUUGUAAACUUCUUUUAUAUGGGAAUAAAAUGUUCCACGUGUGGGAUUUUGUAUGUACCAUAUGAAUAAGGAUCGGCUAACUCCGUGCCAGCAGCCGCGGUAUAAGGGGGAUCCGAGCGUUAUUCGGAUUUAUUGGGUUUAAAGGGGGCGUAGGUGGGUUGUUAAGUCAGUUGUGAAAGUUUGCGGGUCAACCGUAAAAUUGCAGUUGAAACUGGCAGUCUUGAGUACAGUAGAGGUGGGCGGAAUUCGUGGUGUAGCGGUGAAAUGCUUAGAUAUCACGAAGAACUCCGAUUGCGAAGGCAGUUCACUGGACUGCAACUGACACUGAGGCUCGAAAGUGUGGGUAUCAAACAGGAUUAGAUACCCCAGUAGUC